UACGAAGGGGGCUAGCGUUGUUCGGAAUUACUGGGCGUAAAGCGUAUGCAGGCGGAUCAUUAAGUCGGGGGUGAAAUCCCGAGGCUCAACCUCGGAACUGCCUUCGAUACUGAUGAUCUUGAGUCCGGGAGAGGUGAGUGGAACUGCGAAGUGUAGAGGUGAAAUUCGUAGAUAUUCGCAAGAACACCAGUGGCGAAGGCGACUCACUGGACAUGUAUUGACGCUGAGGAGCGAAAGCGUGGGGAGCAAACAGG
rnacentral:rRNA from 1 species